CUCUGUGACUCCUACGGGAGGCAGCAGUGGGGAAUAUUGCACAAUGGGCGCAAGCCUGAUGCAGCCAUGCCGCGUGUAUGAAGAAGGCCUUCGGGUUGUAAAGUACUUUCAGCAGUGAGGAAGGUGGGUAUGUUAAUAGCAUACUCAUUUGACGUUAGCUGCAGAAGAAGCACCGGCUAACUCCGUGCCAGCAGCCGCGGUAAUACGGAGGGUGCGAGCGUUAAUCGGAAUUACUGGGCGUAAAGCGCAUGCAGGCGGCCUGUUAAGUCAGAUGUGAAAGCCCGGGGCUUAACCUCGGAAUUGCAUUUGAAACUGGCAGGCUAGAGUCUUGUAGAGGGGGUAGAAUUUCAGGUGUAGCGGUGAAAUGCGUAGAGAUCUGAAGGAAUACCAGUGGCGAAGGCGGCCCCCUGGACAAAGACUGACGCUCAGAUGCGAAAGCGUGGGGAGCAAACAGGAUUAGAUACCCUUGUAG
rnacentral:rRNA from 1 species